rnacentral:rRNA from 1 species
UACGGAGGGUGCAAGCGUUACUCGGAAUCACUGGGCGUAAAGCGCGCGCAGGCGGGCUGAUAAGUUGGAUGUGAAAGCCUACGGCUCAACCGUAGAACUGCAUCCAAAACUGUCAGUCUAGAGUCUGGGAGGGGAAGAUGGAAUUAGUUGUGUAGGGGUAAAAUCCGUAGAGAUAACUAGGAAUACCAAAAGCGAAGGCGAUCUUCUGGAACAGUACUGACGCUGAGGCGCGAAAGCGUGGGGAGCAAACAGGAUUAGAUACCCUGGUAGUCCACGCCCUAAACGAUGAAUGUUAGUCGUCGGAGGCCUAGUGUCUUCGGUGAUGCAGCUAACGCAUUAAACAUUCCGCCUGGGGAGUACGGUCGCAAGAUUAAAACUCAAAGGAAUAGACGGGGACCCGCACAAGUGGUGGAGCAUGUGGUUUAAUUCGAAGAUACGCGAAGAACCUUACCUAGCCUUGACAUAUAUUAGAACUCUGCAGAGAUGCGGAGGUGCCUUCGGGAGCUUUUAUACAGGUGCUGCACGGCUGUCGUCAGCUCGUGUCGUGAGAUGUUGGGUUAAGUCCCGCAACGAGCGCAACCCUCGUCACUAGUUACUAACGGUUCGGCCGAGGACUCUAGUGAGACUGCCUUCGCAAGGAGGAGGAAGGUGAGGACGACGUCAAGUCAUCAUGGCCCUUACGGCUAGGGCAACACACGUGCUACAAUGGGCAGGACAAUGAGACGCGAUACCGCGAGGUGGAGCAAAUCUAUAAACCUGUUCUCAGUUCGGAUUGUAGUCUGCAACUCGACUACAUGAAGCUGGAAUCACUAGUAAUCGUAGAUCAGCUAUGCUACGGUGAAUACGUUCCCGGGUC